UGCCAGCAGCCGCGGUAAUACGGAGGGUGCGAGCGUUAAUCGGAAUUACUGGGCGUAAAGCGCGCGUAGGCGGUUUGUUAAGUCGGAUGUGAAAUCCCCGGGCUCAACCUGGGAACUGCACUCGAUACUGGCCGACCAGAGUACGAGAGAGGGAGGUAGAAUUCCACGUGUAGCGGUGAAAUGCGUAGAUAUGUGGAGGAAUACCAGUGGCGAAGGCGGCUUACUGGACUGUAACUGACGCUGAGGCGCGAAAGCGUGGGGAGCGAACGGGAUUAGAUA
rnacentral:rRNA from 1 species